GACCAAUCGUAGUCUAGACCUUUGUUCAAAGAUGAAGACACUUCAGCAGGAAUCAUAUGAGCUUCAGGACCAAAUCACAGACCUACAAAAAGCAGAGGCUAGAUCCAAAGCGUCUCACGCAUGAGAAGAUGGAUGAGUUGAAGAGGGAGCCGCCCCGAGGUGAAGUACAGAAACAUCCUGCAGUAAGGCCAGUCUCACCGAGAGAAAUACCAGAAGAUGGCCACCAUCACACAGAA